rnacentral:rRNA from 1 species
UCAUGCAGGCAAAACCGCAUGAAAAAUGUAAAGCGUUAUGUGGAUCGAACAUUAGUAGAGAAGCGUGUGAGCCAGCUGCCAAGAAAAGCCGCUAUUGCUUCAUAAGUACCCGUACCGUAAACCGACACAGGUGGAUGAGGAGAGAAUCCUAAGGCCGGCGGGAGAAGUGUUGUUAAGGAACUCGGCAAAAUGACUCCGUAACUUCGGGAGAAGGAGUGCCACAGAGAUGUGGCCGCAGAGAAAUGGCCCAAGCAACUGUUUAGCAAAAACACAGGUCUAUGCAAAACCGAAAGGUGAGGUAUAUGGGCUGACGCCUGCCCGGUGCUGGAAGGUUAAGAGGAGAGGUUAGAGCAAUCGAAGCUUUGAAUUUAAGCCCCAGUAAACGGUGCCGUAACAAUAACGGUCCUAAGGUAGCGAAAUUCCUUGUCGGGUAAGUUCCGACCCGCACGAAAGGCGUAAUGAUUUGGGCACUGUCUCAACAACACACCCGGUGAAAUUGAAAUACCAGUGAAGAUGCUGGUUACCUGCGCCAGGACGGAAAGACCCCAUGGAGCUUUACUCCAGUUUGAUACUGGGAUUCGGUACUGUCUGUACAGGAUAGGUGGGAGGCUAGGAAAUGGUGACGCCAGUUGCCAUGGAGCCAACCUUGGGAUACCACCCUUACAGUACUGGGUUUCUAACCUGCAGCCGUAACCCGGCUGGGGGACAAUGUCUGACGGGGAGUUUGACUGGGGCGGUCGCCUCCGAAAGAGUAUCGGAGGCGCUCAAAGGUUCCCUCAGAACGGUUGGAAACCGUUCGAAGAGUGCAAAGGCAGAAGGGAGCUUGACUGCGACACCGACGGGUGGAGCAGAUACGAAAGUAGGACUUAGUGAUCCGGUGGUAUAAAGUGGGAUUGCCAUCGCUCAACGGAUAAAAGCUACCCUGGGAUAACAGGCUUAUCACUCCCAAGAGUUCACAUCGACGGAGUGGUUUGGCACCUCGAUGUCGGCUCAUCGCAUCCUGGAGCUGUAGCAGGUUCCAAGGGUUGGGCUGUUCGCCCAUUAAAGCGGUACGCGAGCUGGGUUCAGAACGUCGUGAGACAGUUCGGUCCCUAUCCGGCGUGGGCGUAGGAUAUUUGAGAGGAGCUGUCCUUAGUACGAGAGGACCGGGAUGGACAAACCUCUGGUGUAUCUGUUGUUUUACCAAAGGCAUGGCAGAGUAGCCAAGUUUGGCAGGGAUAAACGCUGAAGGCAUCUAAGCGUGAAGCCCCCCUCAAGAUAAGAUAUCCCAUCUUCGGAGCAAGACCCCUUGAAGACUACAAGGUUGAUAGGCUUUGUGUGUAAGUGCGGUAACGCACUCAGCUGAGAAGUACUAGUAGGUCGAGGACUUAUC